rnacentral:lncRNA from 1 species
UGAAUUUGAUUUGAUACGUAAGGCCCCAGGUUAGAUUGAAUGUUGAUACGUCAGGCCCCAGGUUAGAUUGAAUGUUGAUACGUCAGGCCCCAGGUUAGAUUGAAUGUUGAUACGUAAGGCCCCAGGUUAGAUUGAAUGUUGAUACGUCAGGCCCCAGGUUAGAUUGAAUGUUGACACUUGGCCCCUGGGGUUGAGUGGGGUCAUAUGGGUAUCGAACUUCAUGCUAAUGAAUUUACCUAUAGUUGACAUGGAGUGGUAUCUAGUGGUCUGAUAUUCUAGUGGUCUGAUAUCUAUAGUAGACAUGGAGUGGU